rnacentral:rRNA from 1 species
AGAGUUUGAUCAUGGCUCAGAUUGAACGCUGGCGGCAGGCCUAACACAUGCAAGUCGAGCGAGAAAUCUCCUUCGGGAGAGAGUAGAGCGGCGGACGGGUGAGUAACGCGUGGGAAUCUGCCCAGUAGCGGGGGAUAGCCCGGGGAAACUCGGAUUAAUACCGCAUACGCCCUACGGGGGAAAGCAGGGGAUCUUCGGACCUUGCGCUAUUGGAUGAGCCCGCGUCAGAUUAGCUUGUUGGUGGGGUAACGGCCUACCAAGGCGACGAUCUGUAGCUGGUCUGAGAGGAUGAUCAGCCACACUGGGACUGAGACACGGCCCAGACUCCUACGGGAGGCAGCAGUGGGGAAUAUUGGACAAUGGGGGCAACCCUGAUCCAGCCAUGCCGCGUGUGUGAAGAAGGCUUUCGGGUUGUAAAGCACUUUCAGCGAGGAGGAAAGCCUGAUGGUUAACACCCAUCGGGGGUGACGUUACUCGCAGAAGAAGCACCGGCUAACUCCGUGCCAGCAGCCGCGGUAAUACGGAGGGUGCAAGCGUUAAUCGGAAUUACUGGGCGUAAAGCGCACGUAGGCGGCGGAUUAAGCUAGCUGUGAAAGCCCAGGGCUUAACCUUGGAACUGCAGUUAGAACUGGUUCGCUAGAGUACGGUAGAGGAGUGUGGAAUUUCCUGUGUAGCGGUGAAAUGCGUAGAUAUAGGAAGGAACAUCAGUGGCGAAGGCGACACUCUGGACUGAUACUGACGCUGAGGUGCGAAAGCGUGGGGAGCAAACAGGAUUAGAUACCCUGGUAGUCCACGCCGUAAACGAUGUCUACUAGCCGUUGGGGCCCUUGAGGCUUUAGUGGCGCAGCUAACGCACUAAGUAGACCGCCUGGGGAGUACGGCCGCAAGGUUAAAACUCAAAUGAAUUGACGGGGGCCCGCACAAGCGGUGGAGCAUGUGGUUUAAUUCGACGCAACGCGAAGAACCUUACCAGGCCUUGACAUCCUGCGAACUUUCUAGAGAUAGAUUGGUGCCUUCGGGAGCGCAGUGACAGGUGCUGCAUGGCCGUCGUCAGCUCGUGUCGUGAGAUGUUGGGUUAAGACCCGUAACGAGCGCAACCCCUGUCCUUAGUUGCCAGCGAUUCGGUCGGGAACUCUAAGGAGACUGCCGGUGACAAACCGGAGGAAGGUGGGGAUGACGUCAGGUCAUCAUGGCCCUUACGGCCUGGGCUACACACGUGCUACAAUGGGCGGUACAAAGGGUUGCCAAUCCGCGAGGUGGAGCUAAUCCCGAAAAACCGUUCGUAGUCCGGAUUGGAGUCUGCAACUCGACUCCAUGAAGUCGGAAUCGCUAGUAAUCGUAAAUCAGAAUGUUACGGUGAAUACGUUUCCGGGCCUUGUACACACCGCCCGUCACACCAUGGGAGUGGGUUGCACCAGAAGUGGCUAGUCUAACUUCGGAGGACGGUCACCACGGUGUGAUUCAUGACUGGGGUGAAGUCGUAACAAGGGAGCCCUAGGGGAACCUGCGGCUGGAUCACC